UUCUUUCUUGUUGUACAUAUACAGAAGAAUUAAUUAAGCAAGUGGGGUAAAAAAGAAAUGUCACAAUUUUGGAAACCAGGAACAGAACGACCUCGUAUUGUAGAUGAUGAACAAGGUGGCGUUGUUCUUUACCCUACAGCUUCCUCUUCUUCUUCUGGAUUUGGGUAUGGGAGUUUAGAGAAGCAAAGGCAGAGGCUGCCUGUGUACAAGUACAAAACUGCUAUUCUUUACUCAGUGGAGACUCAUGCUACCACCAUUAUUGUUGGAGAAACUGGCAGUGGCAAAACUACCCAAAUUCCUCAGGUUAGUUUUUCUUGGUUUUCUGUAAAGAUUAUGCUUUUAUAAUUGGUAUGUUUUUAUAAUUGGCAGUGACAAGUCUGUUUGCAUGUUUCUGUGUUACUCUAUUUGUGCGUUUAAACAUGUUUAUUUAUGAUAAUUUAGUUUAGUUCGUUUCAGUAUGUGAGCUACUCUUCCUUUAGUUGAUUUCAGUUUUUAGUAGUUUAAUAUGCGUGCAUGUGUUUAUAUGCUAAGUUUGAUUCAUGCUUAGUUAGAUAUGCUUCUGCGUUAGUUGCUUUAAUUUACACAGUUAAGCCAUAUUCUAUGUAGUUUAGCUGACUGCUUUUGUGUUUGUUGUUUAAACUAAGUAGUUCAGCAUGUCUAUAGAUGUUAAAUUAGUCCAAUUUGUUAGUUACAUUUUGCUUAGUUUAGUUGUAUCAAAAAAUAGAAUUAUGUAUGCUGGUUUGGUUGGUUCUUAUUCCUCACUGGCUGUUUAUCUGAUUAGUCGCGACUAGUUGUUAUGCCAAUGUAGAUUCAUUGUUUCAUUGGUUGAAGAGCUGUACUACAUUUAGCCUGAUCAGUUUUAAUAAAGAAGAUAUACAUCACUUGAUUUGGUUGUUGAAACUGUGAUCAUAGUCUAAGCUGGAAAUGACAUGUCGAGAUCCCUUCUUUUUCCAGUCAGCUGCUGCUCAUAGAUUUUAAAACAGUAGUAAAAUAAUUCUAAAUUCUGAAUCUCUUUAAAUUUCGGUCUUAUUUGUCGCUGCUUUGAUAAGUUCAUUGUUACAGCUUGUUGUUUGGGUUGCUGAAUCUUAAAAGGAAGAGUAAAACAGAGAUGGGAUCUGAAUCUUACAUUCAAAAAAAAUGUGUUUUAGUUUGGAUUAGGCAGUUGCCAUUUGACUAAGCGUAUGAGUUAAGUAUUGGCCUGUUUCCUGUUGCCAUUGUUGUAAUCCAAAUCUAGUCCAGUUGUUAGCAUAUGAGGUGACUCCAAUGUGAUUUAGUCCAUGAUUUAUUGAUAAGUUACAAGUUGGUUGAAAUAUGUAAAGAAUUUCCAUCCACUACAUGCCUGUCAUGACAUUUCUAAACCAUUUACAGUUUCGGACACUACUUUCCCACUGUUUUGUUUAGAUUAGAUAUCGCAUGGGGGUAUUAAUAUGGCUCCUUUGAGUAUUUUAAGAACAGGCCAUUUUGUCAUGGGAUGAGCUUUCAUGUAGUUUAAACUAAAACGCAUCAGUUUGGCUGAUAGAACUGAAUCUCCCUCCCUUUUGUGAUCACAAGCAUGAGCUUUAAAGAACUACUGUUGUCUCAUGGAAACAGCUUUAAAAUUCCCAAGAAAUUUUCUUCUUUCUACUCACUGUCGUUUCGAUGUAAUUUGUUUAAUUGCCAGUUUCAUGGCUGUUAGAUUUAGGCUAGAUAAUCCUCAUGUUCUUUAGAUUCUCUGCUUUUCUUCUCUGUUUUUCAUUGGAUUUCGUUUUUGCAUGAUAAUGUGUGGCCCCCGCCUUAAUUUAGAUUUAUCAGGUGAAACACGACCAUAUUCUCAGUUCUGUGUAUGUUUUUACCUGGUACAGAUCAGUUAAAAUUUGAUUUGAAUUAGAGAACUAGUCUGUCUGUAACUGUUGUCUCCAUAUUUAUGACAUAAAAUGCUUUAUGUUCUAUUUGUUUGCCUCUGUAAUUAAUGAAAACUGAAAUGCUGAUUUAGUUAUUAUCGUAGGCUAUAAAACUGGCAGUUAGUUUGAUACUGUGUUGUUGUUUGUAUUGAUUAAGGCAUGCAAUGUUGUGGCUGUCUGAAGGUUCUGCCUAUAUCUGAGUGCUGUCUCGCUUGUAUAUUAUAAUGUGUUGCGUCCGAAUUCUAUAUAUGCAUGUAUAUUACUAAUCUAUUUUCAUUAAAACACGUUAAUGAGGAGGUUAGAUUGGUCAUUAUGGAUCAAGAUUGAACCCUCCCCGGUGUUAGUCAUGCCUGGGAUUCAUGAAAUCCCUUGGAACUUGUGCAACAUCGGGAAGACGGGGGCAAAAGCUUUCCAAUAUUAACCUUCUAUACAUCCUUAUAAAUGUGUAUACAUGAGGUAUACUUGAAUAUACACCGUAUAUACCGAUUUGUUUCAAUUUAUAUUCUACAUGUUUAACCUUACUCAUUGAUUAGAUACUAAUCCUUUUCCUUUCGUUUUUAUACAUGACCACCGCAUACGAGUCCGAGGGACUCAUCCUUCUUCCGCAUUUGGUGUUGGGCUAAAGCCCAACAUUGUCUCCUCUCGAGUCAGCCCACCUGCAGCAAAAUUAAAAAAAAAAAAAAAAAAAAAGAAUUCUGGGCCGAAGCCCAUAACAGCAGCGACGACAGCAGCAUCCCAAAUGGGCCAAACCCAUUUGAACUCCUUUAUAUUUCCGUCAUUUUAUUAUCUUUGUGUAUUUGAUUGUUUGGCUAACACUUCAUCUUAAUUUUGUUUUCUUAGCUAGAAUGAACCUUAGCGGAAUUAGUGGGUUAGUUUAAUACGAUGAGUAGUUAAUUUAAAGUA